GGGGGUGAAGACAAAUACAAACAGGGUAAGAGGGAGAUGGAGGGAGAAGGAAGAGUGGCUUUAAAAUGGAGAAGAGAGGUCAGAGCUACCUUUACGGUCUUCCAGCUGGAUGUGAAGGAUGUGUUUUGACGUGUUCGCAUUGAGCCACCUAUUUUUAAACUCCCAUGAAAACAUGUGUGUUUGCUUAUGUGCCCCUGUAACUAAUUCAUGGACAGGUGUGUGUUCAUGGAUGAUGGAUGAAGUAACCGAAAGCCUAACUUGAGUAAAAGUACAUAUAUCCAAACAGAAAAUGACUUUAGUAAAAGUUAAAGUCACCUAUUAGGGGAAGGAAGGCAUCUCCGUACCCACUCCCAUUGGAGAGUUUUGGGAGCAGGUGUGAGGGGAAGCCACACACCUGGAGCUGAUCUCCUCUUCAGGGACAAUCAGCAGAGCUCAUUUGGUGUGGCACAUGCUGUGAGUGAGGAGCUCUCAGUCUCUUCUACACUAGAUCUCCAGGCUUUUGGUUUGCCGGUUACGGGGUUAGGGCUCCUGAGGAAGCUAGAUUUUCUGUUGUGUUUGUGAGAUUAUGAGUUUGGGUAAAUAAAAACCCUGUUGACCGUUAA